rnacentral:rRNA from 1 species
CCUACGGGUGGCAGCAGUGAGGAAUAUUGGUCAAUGGCCGAGAGGCUGAACCAGCCAAGUCGCGUGAGGGAAGACGGCCCUACGGGUUGUAAACCUCUUUUGUCGGGGAGCAAAGCGAACCACGUGUGGUUCAUUGAGAUUACCCGAAGAAAAAGCAUCGGCUAACUCCGUGCCAGCAGCCGCGGUAAUACGGAGGAUGCGGGCGUUAUCCGGAUUUAUUGGGUUUAAAGGGUGCGCAGGCGGAGUUGCAAGUCAGCGGUAAAAGUGCGGGGCUCAACCCCGUACUGCCGUUGAAACUGGAUCCCUUGAGUGCGCGAGAAGUAUGCGGAAUGCGUGGUGUAGCGGUGAAAUGCAUAGAUAUCACGCAGAACUCCGAUUGCGAAGGCAGCAUACCGGCGCGCAACUGACGCUGAUGUACGAAAGCGUGGGUAUCGAACAGGAUUAGAUACCCCUGUAGUC